rnacentral:rRNA from 1 species
AGAGUUUGAUCCUGGCUCAGGACGAACGCUGGCGGCGUGCUUAACACAUGCAAGUCGAACGGAAAGGCCUCUUCGGAGGUACUCGAGUGGCGAACGGGUGAGUAACACGUGGGCAAUCUGCCCUGCACUUCGGGAUAAGCCUGGGAAACUGGGUCUAAUACCGGAUAGGACCUCAAGACGCAUGUCUUCUGGUGGAAAGCUUUUGCGGUGUGGGAUGGGCCCGCGGCCUAUCAGCUUGUUGGUGGGGUGACGGCCUACCAAGGCGACGACGGGUAGCCGGCCUGAGAGGGUGUCCGGCCACACUGGGACUGAGAUACGGCCCAGACUCCUACGGGAGGCAGCAGUGGGGAAUAUUGCACAAUGGGCGCAAGCCUGAUGCAGCGACGCCGCGUGGGGGAUGACGGCCUUCGGGUUGUAAACCUCUUUCACCAUCGACGAAGGUCCGGGUUUUCUCGGAUUGACGGUAGGUGGAGAAGAAGCACCGGCCAACUACGUGCCAGCAGCCGCGGUAAUACGUAGGGUGCGAGCGUUGUCCGGAAUUACUGG